UACGGAGGGGGCUAGCGUUGUUCGGAAUUACUGGGCGUAAAGCGCGCGUAGGCGGCUAAGCAAGUUAGAGGUGAAAGCCCCGGGCUCAACCUGGGAAUUGCCUUUAAUACUGUUUGGCUUGAGUUCGGAAGAGGGAAGUGGAAUUUCCAGUGUAGAGGUGAAAUUCGUAGAUAUUGGAAAGAACACCAGUGGCGAAGGCGGCUUCCUGGUCCGAUACUGACGCUGAGGUGCGAAAGCGUGGGGAGCAAACAGG
rnacentral:rRNA from 1 species